rnacentral:sRNA from 1 species
GUGUAGGAAAGUGUGCAGCGGCAGGAGACAUUGGGCCACCGAGGAAUUGGGAUGUGUUUCCGCCAAGAUAUCUAGCAGGUGGCACCGAGGUGCUGGACCUAUCAAGGUACCUCAGCUAGUGAUGAACAAGUGACCCCAGUGGUCCCCAUGAGUCAGUCCAUCAGGAGCUCUCUGACUUACCCUCUGUUAAUUCAGACUCUGAUCUCUCUAUCUCAACGAGAGAUAGGCAGUUAGACUAUUCAGUGUCUCUGCCUCCAUGGCACUCAGACUGAUCACAUCCACCCCUGCGUCCCACCGCCUCAGGAGCCAGGUUCUGAGAGGCUCUUCCAUUCCCUGUUUAAAAUCUUCCCUCAAUUUGUGCAGUUCAGAUGCAGAAUAUUUCUAUCAAAGUGUCCUGCACAGGUCAUUAGGAAGGGCUUUAUCUACGUGUUGUUGAUGGAUUUCCUCUUCUGUUAACAGUGAAACCUAAUUUUUCUCACAUUACUACCGCAGUCUCCACACUAGCCUAUCUUCCCAUGAGUCCCAAGGGAUCCUAAGAAGGGAUCCCAAGCAAGACCUAAGCUGCACUCUUUCUCUUGUAUCUUGCCAGCUCUAGGAAAUGGCCAGCCAAAACUGCAAUUUCAUCUUCUCCACUACCCAAGUUUCCUGCCCAAUCAUAAAGUAGGCGUAGCAGAAAGUAUAGCAUCUGCACUUCUUUUUGCCAUUGAAAUCCCUGUUACGUCCUCUGGGAAGCUAGCUGAGCUUCGUUUACAUAUCUUAUUGACCACAGCCUUGACUCACUGUGAAGCCACAACCUGUUGAUUAUCACCUCUUGCUUGGCUACUUCCAGAGAUUUCAAUUCCAUCAGCAGUUUGGGGAGCAUCUGCAUACUCGCAUAGUAGACAGCACCAUUCACUAGUGAGGAACGCCACCGGAUGCCACAUUCAGAAAGAUGCUCAUCUUGGGAUUCCUCUGAAGUAUAUUCUAGUCUCAGAUAGUUUGGUCUUGGUUGCCUGUCCUACCACCAAUUGCAGGAGCAUGCAGUCAUCAUUACAGGAAAUAGGUACCCGUGAAGUAUUCAUUUCCAGACUGCUCCCAUUACUAUGCCCUCAUAUGAACAUGCCUUAGUUGAAUGUGUCAGCAUCCACCAUAGGAGUCAUGCACCCACUCUUCCCAAACUUGUAGUAGGUUGUCAGUCCACAUUUGUGUUAUGAGACUUUUUCUAGUGAUGAGGGAGACAUAAUUAUGUAUUCAUUCAAGAUGAGGUAUCAACAACAGACAAGAAUAAUAACCCCACCCAAGUCUGUUAAUGAACCAGUUAGUUUAAUGUAGUUUCUUAGAGGAGUACAUAUGAGUGGCUACAUACAGGAGCAUGGGUGACUCAAAGUAACUGCAUCAACCCCAGCCCUCACCAUGGUUGGUAAAUCCAGAGGGCUGAAUCCCUAGAGUUCUGUGUUCAAUUGUAGGCCAAUCAGUUGACUGGUCAAAAACCUUUUCUGCCAAGGAAAUGUUUCUGUCUUUAUGACCUUAGGAGAAGAGAAGUAUGAGUCUUUGUAAGUUACUGUACUUGGAAAUUUCUUUAGUUCUAGGAGUCUAGGCUAGAAUCUUUUAACCAUGAAGAAAUAUCUACAUAACAAAAUACCUUGUAGAAACGAGGACAAAGGAGCCAAUCUGGUAGCUACUGCCAUGAGCAUAAGUGGCCACAAGUGCAACCUCGAUACUGGCAAUGAACAGAAUAUUUGGGGUACAAAUUUCAAGAAUCACCUCGUCAGGUAGGGCGGUAUCUAUUUAUAUUUGAUCACACCCUAGCAUCCCAGAGAAGGAUCUAUUAGGUAUUACACCACCCAUGACAUAAUAGUAACAAUAAAAUAGAUUUCAAGAAUGGCGGGUCUAUUUUCAUGUUGUCUUUAUGACAGGGACAAUACUACUUUGACCCUCUGUGUCUCUGCAGAGAGUCUAUUUCUGGAAGGACCCUUUGAGACCUCUUGGUGAACCAUGUGCUUUUUGGAUUUCCAGAGUGUGCUUCUUGUAGAACUAACUCUAAAAGUCUCUGGAAAAGCACUGGAUAUAGCCGAGCCUGCUUUAAAAAUUACUCCAAGGCACAGGAGCUGAUUAGAGAUUCUAAAAAGAGCUACAGCAAGUAUUUUUAGGUCUCUUAACCAUGAAAUCUUACUCUGAACAUGAUUUAGUACCAUUCAUAGAGUACGAUGUAGACUUUAGUCACCAGUCACAUUGCUACUAUUUCAUGUAGUUAUUGUUGACAUCUAUUUGUUGAUUCAAAAUUUUGCUUCUUAAAAUUCUUGCCUUUAAAAUUGUUUAGAAAGAAAAGAGGAAUUGUAAGACAUUUCUUAGGGUCUCUGUGUGUAGAGCUUUCAUCUGACCCUACCUCUGAGGCCAGCUGAAGGCAGAUCUCUAAUAUGUUUGGGAAUAAGUGCUUCUCCUCAGGACUGACACCAGAUCCAACUUGCUGCAAUCCAUUCUCUGAUUACUUUAUCAUCCCUUAUGGACUUCCACAACAUCUACCAAUAGUAUUCAAAGUCAGUUAUUCACGUAUCUAGUUUCAUUCCUACUUGUAAAAUUCUAGAGCAAUAACACUAUAAUUAAUCAUCUUCAUGUUUCUAAUAUCUAAUAUCUGACUUUUAGUAGCAAGUUGAAAAAGAGGAUUCUUUCGUGAAUUAUAUACAAUUAAGUUGCACUCUCCCUACAUAUUUCAGCAGUAAAGUUCUGGAAGUUGUGAACAGACACUCAUAAGAACAGGCUGUUUACAUUUCAGGAAUUGAAGCCAGUUGAUUUUGUGAUAGUACGUGACAUUGUGUUAUGAUGGAAAUAUUUGCCCUAAGGGAAUUGAUGAAUACUACAGUUGAGGCUACUUGAUCCUAGAGAGCCAGUUGUAAAACAUCACCAGCACAAUACCAGAUAUGGUUAGAAUGUAUAUGUAUUUAUCCAUUCUACAUGUAUAUAUAUACAUACCUGUAAUCUGGCAAUCUCAGAUGUAGUACCUACUCUUGUUAGCAUAUAUUAAGUGGACAGAAUAAUGGAUUUCACUUUGACAUUGUUAUACAUGUGUAUAAUGUAAUUUGAUCUGUUCACCUCCAUUACCUUUUAAUAGGAUAAAAUAAUUUUUAGAUGUUUAAAAUAAUUUGUAAAUGUUUGAAAAUAAUUUUAAACGAGUAGUCUUAUCUCUCCAUUUAGAUUGCAAAGGAUAGAAAGAACAGGUCUUUCAUUUACUGUCUAAGUGCCUCAAAGUUUAUAGGCACUUGGUAAUUGCGUGGGUGGUGGGAGAAAUCUAUGUCCUAAACAGACUUUGUCUUUUAAGCAGUGGACCUUGGAAUGGGAGGUAGACCUUGAAAAGAAGUGAAUGGGAACUAGAGUAAAAGGCUUUAAGAUAAUCUAACAGUGAGGUUUGUAUUCUUAACUUUGCUUAAAUCAAUAUUUUGCUUCUGAUUUUGUAUUCUCAAAACACAAAUUUAUAAAAAAGUUACAUUCAAAACAAGGACAUAAUCACAGCUUAAAAAUAUAUGAUUUAGGGAUAUACAAUUUGGGCACAUUGAAUGGCAGAAACAUAUUUCUCCUGCUUCAGAACUGCAGGAAAGUGUGCUGGGCUUGAGAAAGUUCCCUAACUUUUUUCAUUCUAAACAUCUCACAUUCAAAGUUAUCCAUUUUCAAGAACAUUGGUUGCCUUAGGUCUACUGAAUGUGAGGAGACUGCAAAAUGUCAGUGAACAAUGUUGUUGUUGCUUCCUUGUUUGCUUGCUUGUUUUAGAGAAAGGUCUCCUGUCAUUUUGCCCUUGAACUGCUAACUGUUUGACUGAGGAUAACCUUGAGCUUCAAAUCUGGGAUUACAGAUGUGUGCCCUCGUAUUCACUCUAGGGACCAAACCCUGGACUCUGUUCAUGCAAGCACUGUACAAACCAAACUCAGUCCUUCAUUGCAACACUUGACCCCACACAAAAUGUUACCUGCAAGAUAUUCCAAGCAGUCUGCUCCUAUUGUUUCAAAAGAAUUUUUGAAAUCAAAUGCUAAAAUCUAAUACUGCUCUGUAUAAUGUUUACAUUCCAUUAUUUUCAAUUAAGUUAUAGUCAACACAGUACAAUAAACACAUUGAAAAGU